UAGGGUUCGAUUCCGGAGAGGGAGCCUGAGAACGGCUACCACAUCCAAGGAAGGCAGCAGGCGCGCAAAUUACCCAAUCCCAAUACGGGGAGGUAGUGACAAUAAAUAACAAUAUGGGGCUCUUACGGGUCUCGUAAUUGGAAUGAGUACAAUUUAAAUCUCUUAACGAGGAACAAUUGGAGGGCAAGUCUGGUGCCAGCAGCCGCGGUAAUUCCAGCUCCAAUAGCGUAUAUUAAAGUUGUUGCAGUUAAAAAGCUCGUAGUUGAAUUUCGGAAUUUGUCGGUUGGUCGGGCUUCACUGUCCGCACUGGCCUGAUAGAUUCCUACCUUCUGAAUAACCAGCAUGCUAUUAAGUUAGUGCGUUGGGGAAGCAGAGCUAUUACCUUGAAAAAAUUAGAGUGCUUAAAGCAGGCUUACGCUUGAAUAGAUUAGCAUGGAAUAAUAAAAUAGGACGGCAUGGUUCUAUUUUGUUGGUUUCUAGGAUCACCGUAGUGAUUAAUAGGGAUAGUUGGGGGCAUUAGUAUUCAAUUGUCAGAGUGAAAUUCUUGGAUUUAUUGAAGACUAACUUCUGCGAAAGCAUUUGCCAAGGAUGUUUUCAUUAAUCAGGACGAAGUUAGGGGUCGAAGACGAUCAGAU
rnacentral:rRNA from 1 species